rnacentral:misc_RNA from 1 species
GUGAUUGUGAACUGUUGCCUUCGGUGCUGGCUCUGGCUCCAGAGCAAGUGCACGCUGGUGACUUUCAUCCAAUACCCCUGUGCACCUUUGGCCUCUUGUUGGCUUCGGCUGACAGAGGAUUUACACAAACUCGAAUGUAAUGAAACUAUUGCUGUGCGCAAGCACGAAUGUA